GGUUAAGUUAAUAAGGGCGCACGGUGGAUGCCUUGGCACUAGAAGCCGAUGAAGGACGUGACUAACAACGAAAUGCUUUGGGGAGCUGUAAGUGAGCAAUGAUCCAGAGAUGUCCGAAUGGGGGAACCCGGCAGGUAAUGCCUGUCACUCAUUACUGUUAAGGUAAUGUAGAGGAAGACGCAGUGAACUGAAACAUCUAAGUAGCUGCAGGAAGAGAAAGCAAAAGCGAUUGCCUUAGUAGCGGCGAGCGAAACGGCAAGAGGGCAAACCGAAGAGUUUACUCUUCGGGGUUGUAGGACUGCAACGUGGACUUAAAGAUUAUAGAAGAACUACCUGGGAAGGUAGGCCAAAGGGAGUAAUAGCCUCGUAUUCGAAAUAGUCUUUAUACCUAGCAGUAUCCUGAGUACGGCGAGACACGAGAAAUCUCGUCGGAAUCUGGGAGGACCAUCUCCCAACCCUAAAUACUCUCUAGUGACCGAUAGUGAACCAGUACCGUGAGGGAAAGGUGAAAAGCACCCCGGGAGGGGAGUGAAAUAGAACCUGAAACCGUGUGCCUACAACAAGUUCAAGCCCGUUAAUGGGUGAGAGCGUGCCUUUUGUAGAAUGAACCGGCGAGUUACGAUAUGAUGCGAGGUUAAGUUGAAGAAACGGAGCCGUAGGGAAACCGAGUCUUAAUAGGGCGCAUUAGUAUCAUGUCGUAGACCCGAAACCAUGUGACCUACCCAUGAGCAGGUUGAAGGUGAGGUAAAACUCACUGGAGGACCGAACCAGGGCACGUUGAAAAGUGCUUGGAUGACUUGUGGUAGCGGAGAAAUUCCAAACGAACUUGGAGAUAGCUGGUUCUCUCCGAAAUAGCUUUAGGGCUAGCGUCGAUGUUAAGUCUCUUGGAGGUAGAGCACUGUUUGGGUGAGGGGUCCAUCCCGGAUUACCAAUCUCAGAUAAACUCCGAAUGCCAAUGAGAUAUAAUCGGCAGUCAGACUGCGAGUGCUAAGAUCCGUAGUCGAAAGGGAAACAGCCCAGACCACCAGCUAAGGUCCCAAAAUAUAUGUUAAGUGGAAAAGGAUGUGGGGUUGCACAGACAACUAGGAUGUUAGCUUAGAAGCAGCUAUUCAUUCAAAGAGUGCGUAAUAGCUCACUAGUCGAGUGACCCUGCGCCGAAAAUGUACCGGGGCUAAAACAUAUUACCGAAGCUGUGGAUACCUUUAUAGGUAUGGUAGGAGAGCGUUCUAUGUGCGAAGAAGGUGUACCGUGAGGAGUGCUGGAGCGCAUAGAAGUGAGAAUGCCGGUAUGAGUAGCGAAAGACAGGUGAGAAUCCUGUCCACCGUAAGACUAAGGUUUCCAGGGGAAGGCUCGUCCGCCCUGGGUUAGUCGGGACCUAAGGAGAGACCGAAAGGUGUAUCCGAUGGACAACAGGUUGAUAUUCCUGUACUAGAGUAUAUAGUGAUGGAGGGACGCAGUAGGCUAACUAAACCAGACGAUUGGAAGUGUCUGGCCAAGCAGUGAGGUGUGAUAUGAGUCAAAUGCUUAUAUCUCUAACAUUGAGCUGUGAUGGGGAGCGAAGUUUAGUAGCGAAGUUAGUGAUGUCACACUGCCGAGAAAAGCUUCUAGCGUUAAUUAUACUCUACCCGUACCGCAAACCGACACAGGUAGUCGAGGCGAGUAGCUCAGGUGAGCGAGAGAACUCUCGUUAAGGAACUCGGCAAAAUGGCCCCGUAACUUCGGGAGAAGGGGCGCUGACUGAUGGUCAGCCGCAGUGAAUAGGCCCAAGCAACUGUUUAUCAAAAACUACAGCUCUCUGCUAAAUCGUAAGAUGAUGUAUAGGGGGUGACGCCUGCCCGGUGCUGGAAGGUUAAGAGGAGUGCUUAGCGUAAGCGAAGGUAUGAAUUGAAGCCCCAGUAAACGGCGGCCGUAACUAUAACGGUCCUAAGGUAGCGAAAUUCCUUGUCGGGUAAGUUCCGACCCGCACGAAAGGCGUAAUGAUUUGGGCACUGUCUCAACGAGAGACUCGGUGAAAUUUUAGUACCUGUGAAGAUGCAGGUUACCCGCGACAGGACGGAAAGACCCCAUGGAGCUUUACUGCAGUUUGAUAUUGAGUAUCUGUACCACAUGUACAGGAUAGGUAGGAGCCUAUGACCUCGGGACGCCAGUUUCGAGUGAGGCGUUGUUGGGAUACUACCCUUGUGUUAUGGCUACUCUAACCCAGAUAGGUUAUCCCUAUCGGAGACAGUGUCUGACGGGCAGUUUGACUGGGGCGGUCGCCUCCUAAAAGGUAACGGAGGCGCCCAAAGGUUCCCUCAGAAUGGUUGGAAAUCAUUCGCAGAGUGUAAAGGUAUAAGGGAGCUUGACUGCGAGAGCUACAACUCGAGCAGGGACGAAAGUCGGGCUUAGUGAUCCGGUGGUUCCGUAUGGAAGGGCCAUCGCUCAACGGAUAAAAGCUACCCUGGGGAUAACAGGCUUAUCUCCCCCAAGAGUUCACAUCGACGGGGAGGUUUGGCACCUCGAUGUCGGCUCGUCGCAUCCUGGGGCUGUAGUCGGUCCCAAGGGUUGGGCUGUUCGCCCAUUAAAGCGGCACGCGAGCUGGGUUCAGAACGUCGUGAGACAGUUCGGUCCCUAUCCGUCGCGGGCGUAGGAAAUUUGAGAGGAUCUGCUCCUAGUACGAGAGGACCAGAGUGGACUUACCGCUGGUGUACCAGUUGUUCUGCCAAGAGCAUCGCUGGGUAGCUAUGUAGGGAAGGGAUAAACGCUGAAAGCAUCUAAGUGUGAAGCCCACCUCAAGAUGAGAUUUCCCAUGAUUUUAUAUCAGUAAGAGCCCUGAGAGAUGAUCAGGUUGAUAGGUUAGAAGUGGAAGUGUGGUGACACAUGUAGCGGACUAAUACUAAUAGCUCGAGGACUUAUCCAA
rnacentral:rRNA from 1 species